rnacentral:rRNA from 1 species
GAUGAACGCUGGCGGCGUGCCUAAUACAUGCAAGUCGAGCGAACGGACGAGAAGCUUGCUUCUCUGAUGUUAGCGGCGGACGGGUGAGUAACACGUGGAUAACCUACCUAUAAGACUGGGAUAACUUCGGGAAACCGGCGCUAAUACCGUAUAAUAUUUUGAACCGCAUGGUUCAAAAGUGAAAGACGGUCUUGCUGUCACUUAUAGAUGGAUCCGCGCUGCAUUAGCUAGUUGGUAAGGUAACGGCUUACCAAGGCAACGAUGCAUAGCCGACCUGAGAGGGGGAUAGGCGACAUGAGAAGGGGGACAGGGACAAGGGGCCUAAGGGAGGCAGCAGUAGGGAACCUGACGCAAUGGGCGAAAGCAUGACGGAGCAGCGCCGAGUGAGAGAUGAAGGUCUUCGGAUCGGAAAACUCUGUUAUUAGGGGGGAACAGAUGUGGAAGUAAAUGUGCACAGCGUGACGGUACCGAAUCAGAAAGCAACGGCUAACUACGUG